rnacentral:misc_RNA from 1 species
UAAUUGCAGCCCGCCCGCUCGCCGGUGGGGUACCGCAAGGAGCCAGCCGUCUAAGGUGGGACAGAUGAUUGGGGUGAAGUCGUAACAAGGUAGCCGUAAGAGAACCUGCGGCUGGAUCACCUCCUUUCUAAGGAAUAAUUACGGAACCUGUACAUUUAUCGAAAAUUUUUUUUAUUUUUAAAA